rnacentral:rRNA from 1 species
AAUAGAUACCCUGGUAGUCCACGCCGUAAACGAUGAGUGCUAAGUGUUAGAGGGUUUCCGCCCUUUAGUGCUGCAGCUAACGCAUUAAGCACUCCGCCUGGGGAGUACGGGCCGCAAGGCUGAAACUCAAAGGAAUUGACGGGGGGCCCGCACAAGCGGUGGAGCAUGUGGUUUAAUUCGAAGCAACGCGAAGAACCUUACCAGGUCUUGACAUCCUCUGCCAACCCUAGAGAUAGGGCGUUCCCCUUCGGGGGACAGAGUGACAGGUGGUGCAUGGUUGCCGUCAGCUCGUGUCGUGAGAUGUUGGGUUAAGUCCCGCAACGAGCGCAACCCUUGAUCUUAGUUGCCAGCAUUCAGUUGGGCACUCUAAGGUGACUGCCGGUGACAAACCGGAGGAAGGUGGGGAUGACGUCAAAUCGAUCAUGCCCCUUAUGACCUGGGCUACACACGUGCUACAAUGGAUGGUACAAAGNGCUGCGAACCCGCGAGGGUAAGCCAAUCUCAUAAAGCCAUUCUCAGUUCGGAUUGU